rnacentral:rRNA from 1 species
AACGUAGGAGACGAACGUUAUCCGGAGUUACUGGGCGUAAAGGGCGUGCAGGCGGUCUGAUAAGUUCGGCGUGAAAUAUUCGGGCUUAACCGGGAUAGGUCGUCGGAGACUGUCGGACUAGAGGGCGAUAGAGGCGUGUGGAAUUCCGGGUGUAGUGGUGAAAUGCGUAGAGAUCCGGAGGAACACCAGUGGCGAAGGCGACACGCUGGGUCGCACCUGACGCUAAAACGCGACAGCAUGGGGAG